rnacentral:rRNA from 1 species
UGGGGAAUUUUGGACAAUGGGCGCAAGCCUGAUCCAGCAAUGCCGCGUGAGUGAAGAAGGCCUUCGGGUUGUAAAGCUCUUUCAGUUGAGAAGAAAAGAUUGUGACUAAUAAUUGCAAUUCAUGACGGUAUCAACAGAAGAAGCACCGGCUAACUACGUGCCAGCAGCCGCGGUAAUACGUAGGGUGCGAGCGUUAAUCGGAAUUACUGGGCGUAAAGGGUGCGCAGGCGGUUCUGUAAGUCAGAUGUGAAAUCCCCGGGCUUAACCUGGGAACUGCGUUUGAAACUACAGAGCUAGAGUGUGGCAGAGGGGGGUGGAAUUCCAUGUGUAGCAGUGAAAUGCGUAGAGAUAUGGAAGAACAUCGAUGGCGAAGGCAGCCCCCUGGGUCAACACUGACGCUCAUGCACGAAAGCGUGGGGAGCAAA